GAGGGUGUAGCUCAGGGGUAGAGUGUGUGCUUAGCAUGCACACAGUCCUGGGUUCAAUCCUCAGUAUCUCCA
rnacentral:tRNA from 1 species